ACGGGCACGGACGCCCGUGGUUCCAGGCAGCAGCGAUGUUUUAAAGCAAGCCUAUUUGCAAAGCUUUAAAACUCGCAGAUUAGAUUUUGACAUGGACGUCAAAAUCUAAUCCAUU
rnacentral:sRNA from 1 species